rnacentral:rRNA from 1 species
UACGGAAGAUGCGAGCGUUAUCCGGAUUUAUUGGGUUUAAAGGGUGCGCAGGCGGCCUGUUAAGUCAGCGGUCAAAUUGCGGGGCUCAACCCCGUACUGCCGUUGAAACUGCAUCCCUUGAGUGCGCGAGAAGUAUGCGGAAUGCGUGGUGUAGCGGUGAAAUGCAUAGAUAUCGCGCAGAACUCCGAUUGCGAAGGCAGCAUGCCGGCUCCACACUGACGCUGAGGCACGAAAGCGUGGGUAUCGAACAGG